rnacentral:rRNA from 1 species
UACGUAGGGUGCAAGCGUUGUCCGGAAUUAUUGGGCGUAAAGAGCUCGUAGGCGGCUUGUCGCGUCGGCUGUGAAAACCUGGGGCUCAACCCCCGGGCCUGCAGCCGAUACGGGCAAGCUAGAAUUCGGUAGGGGAGACUGGAAUUCCUGGUGUAGCGGUGAAAUGCGUAGAUAUCGGGAGGAACACCAGUGGCGAAGGCGAUCAUCUGGGGUU